rnacentral:rRNA from 1 species
UACGUAGGGGGCAAGCGUUGUCCGGAUUUAUUGGGCGUAAAGAGCGUGUAGGCGGCCAUGCAGGUCAGCUGUGAAAACUCGAGGCUCAACCUCGAGACGUCGGUUGAAACCGUAUGGCUAGAGUCCGGAAGAGGAGAGUGGAAUUCCCGGUGUAGCGGUGAAAUGCGCAGAUAUCGGGAGGAACACCGGUGGCGAAGGCGGUUCUCUGGGCCUUACCCUGACGCUGAGGAGCGAAGGCCAGGGGAGCAAACGGG